rnacentral:rRNA from 1 species
UACGAAGGGGGCGAGCGUUGUUCGGAUUUACUGGGCGUAAAGGGCGCGCAGGCGGCUAUUUUUGUCAGGCGUGAAAGCCCCGGGCUUAACCUGGGAACAGCGCUUGAGACGGGAUGGCUAGAGAUCGGGAGAGGAGAGUGGAAUUCCCAGUGUAGAGGUGAAAUGCGUAGAUAUCGUAAGGAAGACCAGUGGCGAAGGCGGGUCUCUGGGCCGAUAUCGACGCUGAGGAGCGAAAGCGUGGGGAGCGAACAGG